rnacentral:lncRNA from 1 species
UGUGAUGCAAUAAUUUAAAUCUUUAGUGAGUUGAUGAAUGGAGAUUAGAUUAGUGGAUAAUUUUGAAAUAUAUAACACAUUUUUUUAAAUGAAAGGAAGGAGCGAAAAAAAUUUGGCCUUCGCUGGCUAUGGUAAUAGAGAAACCAUCGGCCAUGAUAAUUGUUUGAUUUCCUUGGUAUGGUUUGUAGGUCUCAAAUCGAGAUGGGCUAUGGGUCAUAUGAUCUGUUGCUCUCGAGUCAAGUACCCAGA